AAUGAUGGUUUUGUCGCUUUUCAUUAUAGGUCAUAUGGGACUUUUUGUAUACACUCAAAAAGGCUUAAGAACAUGCUUGAAAAAUGCUCUUAAGCC
rnacentral:ncRNA from 1 species